rnacentral:rRNA from 1 species
UACGAAGGGGGCUAGCGUUGUUCGGAUUUACUGGGCGUAAAGCGCACGUAGGCGGAUCGUUAAGUUGGGGGUGAAAUCCUGGAGCUCAACUCCAGAACUGCCUUCAAUACUGGCGAUCUAGAGUCCGGAAGAGGUGAGUGGAACUGCGAGUGUAGAGGUGAAAUUCGUAGAUAUUCGCAAGAACACCAGUGGCGAAGGCGGCUCACUGGCCCGAUACUGACGCUGAGGCACGAAAGCGUGGGGAGCAAACAGG